GACGAACGCUGGCGGCGUGCCUAAUACAUGCAAGUUGAGCGCUGAAGGUUGGUACUUGUACCAACUGGAUGAGCAGCGAACGGGUGAGUAACGCGUGGGGAAUCUGCCUUUGAGCGGGGGACAACAUUUGGAAACGAAUGCUAAUACCGCAUAAAAACUUUAAACACAAGUUUUAAGUUUGAAAGAUGCAAUUGCAUCACUCAAAGAUGAUCCCGCGUUGUAUUAGCUAGUUGGUGAGGUAAAGGCUCACCAAGGCGAUGAUACAUAGCCGACCUGAGAGGGUGAUCGGCCACAUUGGGACUGAGACACGGCCCAAACUCCUACGGGAGGCAGCAGUAGGGAAUCUUCGGAAAUGGACGAAAGGCUGACCGAGCAACGCCGCGGGAGUGAAGAAGGGUUUCGGAUCGUAAAACUCUGUUGGUAGAGAAGAACGUUGGUGAGAGUGGAAAGCUCAUCAAGUGACGGUAACUACCCAGAAAGGGACGGCUAACUACGUG
rnacentral:rRNA from 1 species